GUGUGUGUGUGUGUGUGGUGGGGGGGCGGGGAUGGGAGUCUGAUUGAAUGCAGGUGUGUUUAAUCAGAAGCUUGGUGACUGAGUGCGGGUAAGAGUGUGCUUUCUGGGGAGUGGAGUUUGAGGCAGCUGUAUUAGUAGGCCGCGGAGGUUGUUGGGACAUGGAGUCCACGGAGCGCUGUGAUGUGACAAAUAGACGUUGAUGAGUAGUCUGUCACACCAAAAGCUAAGGAUCUUAGAUGCUGGUUUAUCUUUGGUUCCCAUGAAGUUGCUGUUUGUAAAUUGCUGCAGAAUCAUUGAACCCCUUUGGGAACUGAGCAUCAGUCUGUAAUGGAAAGAAAAUGGGGUUAACCUAAUCAUUGCCAUGAGGAAAAUGUGGACAUUAUCAUCAGUAGACAUGAAUCAUAAUAGAAGGUCUUGUUCAUGUGAUCUUUCACCAGAUGCACAAGAUGCCAACUGACUUAAGCACUCCACAAGACCACAAUCACUUUCAAUAUAAUGUUUAUAGAUUUCACAUGUGCAGUUCAUGGCUUCUGUGUGGGAUGGUAUAGGCAGAAGGGAAUGUGUGUGUGUAUCAUGUAAUCUUUUUUGUUGUUAUUCUUUCCAUUAGUAUCAGAAAUGUCACACCCUAGAUGCCUUGUAUCCACAGGAUGCACACCAAGACCUAGAUAAGAGAGAGAGUUUCCAGAACUAAUCAGCUUUAGCUUUAUUUACCAAGCAUUGAAUUAUUAAUUAGGAUUGGCUGCAGUUGCAUGGCUUGGUGCUUGAACACUUCAAUUUAUUUUGGGCCUAUCAGUGUCUUGCAAUAUGGACUGCACCAAAUAUGGACUGCAAGAGAAGAUGGACAUUCAUCAAAGCAUUCUUCUAUUCCACAAAGCACUGGGAAGUUCUACAGCAACAGAAAGGAAAACCCAAUGCAUUUUCAGUAAUUGACUCCAGAGAUGCUUUCAGUAUCAGGGCUGUGACAGAAGUGUUACACGAGAAAAGGCACAGCGCAACUGCUCCGAAUGUGCUUGGAGACUAGUCUGUAGAACCAAGCUUCACUACUAACGUGUAGAAUAUUACAGCUUUUCAAAAACAAUGUAACCUUAGUUUGAGUUGCAUUGGAAUCGAUCCGAUACAUGCAAGAAGAGGAUGACACAGCCUUUUAUAACAGCGGCUUACGUCACUCAUAACUUGAUCCAUGCCUUUACCCAAGCAGAAGAGAUCCAAAGGAUGCCUCAAAUUUCAUUAUACAUCUCAUUACCACCUCUGGCUGCCAGACUUACAGACUCUGAAUGUUGUUGCUUCAAUUUAGGGUCCAGCAUCUGUGUAAUGCAGCCAAGUACAAUAACACUGAAGCAAUGCAUUACAGCUUUGAAAUACUGUAAACAAUUUACAGUGUGAAUAUUGUUCACAGAAAGAGGUAGGAUACAGCAACAUUAAUAUUUUUAUCUAGACCAUUUUAUGGGUUUGAAAUGGAUAUCUGCCUUGGAAAACUAUGAGCUUGAAAACUGUAAGAUUGUAGAGGUCAGAAGCUAUAGUUUGAACAAUGAUACAAAUAUGUUACUGUAUUUAUCUAGACUUUUGCCAAAAACAGUGCCCUUAGAAUGAUUAAAAGGUAUCUUCAGGAUAUGGCCAGGGCAAAAGAAGUGGCCAGUCAGCCCAUUCUGUAUGCAUAAAGCAGUCUGUGCUAAAUACUGCUCUGCUUCCCGGAAAGCACAUGGUUUCUCCCUCACUGACAACCUACAUUUCAAGCCAUUCCCUGUUGAGGCAGCCUGCUCCCUCUCUCUCCACUAGAGUGGAAAAUUUUAUUAGUCAGCUGGGAAGUCCCUCAGACUUUGAUAUUGUACAAUGAUAUUGUAAACUGUUCAUGCAUUCAUGUUCUGUAAAACAUUAAAUAGUCCAUUAAGGAACGUACUGUAAUAAAGGGGUUGGAUCUUAUGCACGACACUGAACAUUCUGAGACUCCUAGUGGGGAAAACACAAAAGCCUCAUUCUAUUACUAUGCUGAAAUGAAUUUUUCAUAUACAAACAAUAAUUAGUCAAUACUGAAUUUAAAAAACAUGUUUAAAGUAACGCAUACGAGGGUUGUAAUGCAAAAAAGGUUUUUGAUUCAUUUGUCUCUUCAAAAAAAAAAAAAAAAAAACAGAAAAUAUCUAGCAUUAUCAUGCUGGUAGUGUUAUAUAUGCCAGUUAUAUGGCAGUAUAGAAUAUGCUGGUCUUUGUAAGUGGAUAUCCAAUUCUUUUGAAGGCCUUGCCUUACCACUUUGUUUGCUGUUCUCUUUUUUCUCAAAUAAUUAAGUAACUAAGUUUUCUUUUUUCUAGUUUCAUCCAAGGAAAGCUUUAUUUAGUCAUGGACAAUUUUCAACCACUAGUUGAAAUUGUAUACUAUAUAAGUAUACUCUAAGUAUGUUGGCACAUGAAUAUGAACAAAACAUGACGUUUUUCUGUGUCCAGAAAUAAGUGGGAUCAAAUAUGUCAGUCAUAAUCAUAUGAUUGAUAACUAAGUAUAAGUACAAGCUGUUUUUCUUCUAUAUAUAUAUAUACAUGUAAAUGCAUUCCAUAGGUAGGUUGACCUCCAGUAAUCUGGAACAAAGUUUUACAAUUUUGACAUCCAUCCAACAUGUUAAGCACUUCUGAAAAACGUUUAAUGAUAUAUAAUCAUAUCUCAGAGAAAAAAGUAUACAGUAUAUAGAUCACACUUCCAGUUAGCUUUCUUGGUGCAAAAAAAAAAAAAAAUCCUGUCUGCAUUUGGGACAACUAACUAGGUAUUAUCUCUGGCAAAGCCAAAUAUUAAUAUUUUCUUCUUAAGAAACUUCUUAAGAAAAUGCAAAUACCAUAUUGUGUGUUUAUCUGUGUAUAUCUGUAUAUUGUAAUCUUAUGUAUGUAUGUAUGUUAUGUUAUGGUUUAAUUCUUGAUGUUUUAUAUCAGGGAUGCCAAACUGGAGUCCAAAGGCUAUGCAAAAAUUACCAUACUACCUCACUUGUUUAAACAUUUCUGCUAAUUACAAAAGGGUUGAAUCACAUUUAUUAGGAAAAGGAAAUAAAAAUCUGUGUGGGACUGUCGCCCUCCAGAGGCUGAGAUUGACGCUCCUGCUUUGUAGGCAAUAAGCCAGGGAACUCUUGGUUAGGGGUUAGGAGUGAUGAACCUGAUGAACAGGAAGAAAUAGACCUUGCUAUUAUAGGGUUCAGUGUAAUAUUAAUAGAUUGAUCCAUAACGUUUCGAUCAAAAAGGUCAAAGCCUAUAACAACAUACAUUUCUCUGCUAAAUUUCAUUCAAAUUUUGAUGUAAUAUUUGUGAUUUGUUAAGACUGCGACUGCAGGCUACUAACAUUAAAGUUCACAGUGUGUGACUGUGUCAACCACAAAUGGCCCCAGAUAUUGGAAUGUUUGGUUGAUUUAUUGAUUGACGGGCAGUUGUGGUUACACAGUUCUGAUAAUAGGGGGUGCUGUGGCACCCUCAGUUUAGUAUGGAGCAUAAAAAUACACAAAUACAGUAUAGGAACAUUGUUUUAUUUCUGACAUAUUUACAGCCUAUAGAGUAAAGUUGGAAAAACCUUGUCAUUCACUAUACCUUGCUAUCGCUCUGAGGAAACAUUACUCAUAUCCCACCUGUCCUGGGUUCUUCGUAUGAAGAUUCAUGCAAAAUAAAGAUUUAUAUAUAUAUAUUUUACUCUAGAGAUAUGUCUUUUCCUGACAGUCAGGUACAGUACUGCGAUUAAUUGAACUACUGAACUGUAGUGUAAUAGGCAUUGUUCUCGCACUAGUCUCGGAUUGGUGAGCCUGUUUGUGUCAGAUAGAUGAGCACUGGUGCGUUUUGACAGCAUGUGAUUGGUCGUUGACUCAUGUAUGAGUUUUUCCCAUUUUAUGAGCUCAGCUCAGCAGUGGCGGUUCUAGAGUACACUAACUGGGGGGCCAGGCAGGGGCCACUUGUGCUUUUAGGGGCCACACUAACAUUUAUUUUCAGGAUUAUUUUUCAGUCACUUUUCAAUAUGUCAUAUAUCACUCUGUUUUACAAGCAAAUAAGCUAAUAAAAUAAGUUCAACUCAAAUGA